UCUAAGGAUUCUUUUGAAUCCACUGCACACACAAAUAAAAGUCUAAG
rfam:Vitis vinifera, whole genome shotgun sequence of line PN40024, unordered unoriented unplaced sequences